AAUCAACGCUGGCGGCGUGCCUCAGACAUGCAAGUCGAACGAUUAAACUUUCCUUCGGGGAAGAUAUAGAGUGGCGCACGGGUGAGUAACACGUAAGUAAUCUACCCUUGGGUGGGGAAUAACAUCGGGAAACCGAUGCUAAUACCGCAUAAUGCAGCGGCUUCUUAUGAAGACAGUUGUUAAAGCAUUUAUGUGCCUGAGGAGGAGCUUGCGGCAGAUUAGCUAGUUGGUAAGGUAAUGGCUUACCAAGGCGACGAUCUGUAGCCGACCUGAGAGGGUGGUCGGUCACACUGACACUGAAUAACGGGUCAGGCUCCUACGGGAGGCAGCAGUCGGGAAUUUUGGGCAAUGGGCGCAAGCCUGACCCAGCAACGCCGCGUGAAGGAUGAAGUA
rnacentral:rRNA from 1 species